rnacentral:rRNA from 1 species
AACGAACGCUGGCGGCAGGCCUAACACAUGCAAGUCGAACGAACCUUUCGGGGUUAGUGGCGGACGGGUGAGUAACACGUGGGAACGUGCCUUUAGGUUCGGAAUAACUCAGGGAAACUUGUGCUAAUACCGAAUGUGCCCUUCGGGGGAAAGAUUAAUCGCCUUUAGAGCGGCCCGCGUCUGAUUAGCUAGUUGGUUGAGGUAAUGGCUCACCAAGGCGACGAUCAGUAGCUGGUCUGAGAGGAUGAUCAGCCACAUUGGGACUGAGACACGGCCCAAACUCCUACGGGAGGCAGCAGUGGGGAAUCUUGCGCAAUGGGCGAAAGCCUGACGCAGCCAUGCCGCGUGAAUGAUGAAGGUCUUAGGAUUGUAAAAUUCUUUUACCGGGGACGAUAAUGACGGUACCCGGAGAAGAAGCCCCGGCUAACUUCGUG